AUUUUCUAUCAGUAUUGUAAAUAUCAAGUGAGGCUCUGAAAUGAUGAUCAGUGCCAGCAUCCUCAAAGAAUCCCUUCUUUGCCAACUUCAUUAGCAAGCAGAUGGUGCAGAAUAUUACCUUUAAGGUGUGCUCGUUCUGCGCCAUUUACCAUUGUACAGAAAACAUGCAUAAAGUACUGUAAACUAUUUUUUCACCUCAAUAAAAUACAAUUAUAAUCUUUACUGUAGUAUAAUAGGCAUAGAAGGUUGAUUAAAUGAACUUAUAUUUGUCACAUGAAAAGAGUAGUGAGUGCUACCAGCUUGUGACUGAUGUUUCUUAGGAAAACGGUGGAAACGCGGAUGGUUGGCACAGCUUGUAACAAUUUUAUGUGAUGUGCAGGACUCUCCAUAUCUCCCAAUUGUUCCAGAUCUAACAAGGACAAUAUAUACCGCCCAAUAAAC